rnacentral:rRNA from 1 species
CCUACGGGCGGCUGCAGUAGGGAAUCUUUCACAAUGGGCGAAAGCCUGAUGGAGCAACGCCGCGUGCAGGAUGACGGCCUUCGGGUUGUAAACUGCUUUUAUAAGCGAGAAAUAUGAUGGUAACUUAUGAAUAAGGAUCGGCUAACUACGUGCCAGCAGCCGCGGUCAUACGUAGGAUCCGCGCAUUAUCCGGAGUGACUGGGGGUAAAGAGUUGCGUAGGUGGCAUAAUAAGUAGCUAGUGAAAUCUGGUGGCUCAACCAUUCAGACUAUUAGCUAAACUGUUAAGCUCGAGAACGUUAGGGGCAUCUGGAAUUUCUAGUGUAGGAGUGAAAUCCGUAGAUAUUAGAAGGAACACCAAUAGCGUAGGCAGGAUGCGGGGACGGUUCUGACACUAAGGCACGAAGGCGUAGGGAGCAAACGGGAUUAGAUACCCGGGUAGUC